CUUGCUGUGCUCAUCAACAAAAUGGGGCACUAUUUCUUUCUUUCCAAAAUUCCGAAAACUCAACUUUUAAAUAAAGAAAAUACACAGAUGCAUGCAGUGAGAAGAUAAACCGAUGCCCAUGAUCGACCCAGGAUGGUGCUCCAGCACAGAUGCAUGAAGCUACUCCAAACAAAAAUGAUGCUCCAGCACUGAGCAUGCGGCCGAAGAUAAACUAAAUGGUGGUCCUCUGCCUACUGGGGUUGGUCAAUGCACUCCUUCCUCCCAGUUGAUUUCGGACAGUGAACAGUCUCCACCGCUGCUUCACGAUGCAUACUCCACCCCCAAGCCUCCAUAUUACUUUCACACCAUGACACAAGAUAGGGAAGAUUCAAGCAGCAGAAGAACGCCCUUCAGCUCGGGAAUUAGAUCUCAUUCGGUGGCGACGACAAUGAGAUCUAACGAUUAGCCCCCCAAAAAAUGAUGAUUUCGGCUGCAACUACGAGGAAAGUAUUCGAAGCGGAAGAAGAGGCCCAAGAAGAGGUCGGCUUGGGGAGAUGCAAAGGUGGACAAUCUCGGCCUCCUAGUCAGCCGCUGUCGUAGUUCCGCCUCCCACCCGUUGACCUAGGGUUGGAGGGGGGCUGCUGGAGGGAAGGGACGGCUGAGGGAGGAGGAGGAGGAAGAGGGUGGGAGGGGGCAACAUGCGUCGUCGCCGCCGCCGGGGUGAAUCGCGUUGGGUCUCGUCUUCUCCCGAGCUCGCACGGGGCUCUCCUUGUGGGUUUCGUUCGAAUAAGUACAUGAGAUCCCAAUUAUAGGCAAAAACCAAGGGUGUGGGGCUAUGCGUUGCAGUGUAAUAAAUGGAGGCGCCCGUGAGCAGGCUCGAAAUUGGUUUUGAUUUCCACGCGCCAAUGCCAAAAACAUCCAAUCAGUGGAUUCUGGGCCUUCAAAUACCAGAUGGGCAAUUGGAAGCCCGGAUUCAUAUGUCCAAAACAUAGUGUUGUAGGAUUCUCCUCCCAUGAGAUGUCUUCCUAGCUUCUCCACUGAGAUGAAGAGCCGUCGCCGCACUACUACAAAACAGUGUAUACGUGACGAGUCAUCAGUGAUGGGCCUUUCAUUCCCGUCACUGAUGACCAUCAUCAGUCACAGGCACACCACGCCCGUCAUUGAUGACCACUCAUCAGUAACGGGCACACAGAGCCCGUCACUCAUGACCACUCAUCAGUAACGGGCUCGCGAGGCCCGUCACUAAUGAUUCGAUGUGAAAAAUAACAAAAUUCACAAAAACACACAUCAGUGGCGGGCUUGAAAUCUAAGCCCGCCCCUGAUGAGCUCUGGAGACAUUUCUGCCUAGCUCUUUAAUUUGGCCCGCCCAGUAUUUGCUAUGGUUUGAGAGGGUGGUAUAAAUAACCCCUCCCCAAGCCCCACCCCUUCUCUCUUCUCUCCCCCGAACUCUCCCUCUGCUCUCUUCUCUCACGCGAUCUUCUCUCCCUCUCUUCUGCCCGC